rnacentral:rRNA from 1 species
GUAAGAAUCUACCUUCAGGAUGGGGACAACAGUUGGAAACGACUGCUAAAACCCGAUGUGCCGCAAGGUGAAAUAUUAAUAGCCUGAAGAAGAGCUUGCGUCUGAUUAGCUAGUUGGUGGGGUAAGAGCCUACCAAGGCGACGAUCAGUAGCUGGUCUGAGAGGAUGAGCAGCCACACUGGGACUGAGACACGGCCCAGACUCCUACGGGAGGCAGCAGUGGGGAAUUUUCCGCAAUGGGCGAAAGCCUGACGGAGCAACGCCGCGUGAGGGAGGAAGGCUCUUGGGUUGUAAACCUCUUUUGCUUGGGAAGAAGAUCUGACGGUACCAAGCGAAUCAGCAUCGGCUAACUCCGUGCCAGCAGCCGCGGUAAUACGGAGGAUGCAAGCGUUAUCCGGAAUUAUUGGGCGUAAAGCGUCCGCAGGUGGUCGUUCAAGUCGGCUGUCAAAGGUUGAAGCUUAACUUCAAAAAGGCAGUGGAAACUGAACAACUAGAGGUCAGUAGGGGUAGCAGGAAUUCCCAGUGUAGCGGUGAAAUGCGUAGAGAUUGGGAAGAACAUCGGUGGCGAAAGCGUGCUACUGGGCUGAAUCUGACACUGAGGGACGAAAGCUAGGGGAGCAAAAGGGAUUAGAUACCCCU